rnacentral:rRNA from 1 species
AUGAUUCGUGGGACGUCCUGCCGGUGGUGGCGAGUCGAAGGUGUGCUCCCGUUGUGGUCUCCACUUCGGUUCUUGCGCGCCCGAGGCGGACCCCGAUGAAAUCCUACCGCGGUGCUCUUUACCGAGUGUCGAGGUGGGCCGGCACGUUUACUUUGAACAAUUUAUAGUGCUUAUAGCAGGCCUGUUGCGCCUGAAUACUGUGUGCAUGGAAUAAUGGAAUAGGACCUCGGUUCUAUUUUGUUGGUUUUCGGAACCCGAGGUAAUGAUUAAUAGGGACAGGCGGGGGGCAUUUCGUAUUGCGACGUUUAGAGGUGAAAUUCUUGGGAUCGUCGCAAGACGGACCGAACCAAAAGCAUUUGCCAGGUAUGUUUUUCAUUAAUCAAGAAACGAAAGUUAGAAGGGUUCAAAGGCGAUCAAUAUACCGCCCUAUUUCUAACCAUAAACGAUGGCCGCUAGCGAUCCGCCAAAGUUCCCCCCCGAUGAACUCGGCGGGCAGCCUCCCCGGUAAACCAAAACUUUUUGGUUUUCGGGGGAAUUUAUGGUUGCAAGCUGAAACUUAAGGGAAUUUGACGGAAGG